GAUGAACGCUGGCGGCGUGCCUAAUACAUGCAAGUCGAGCGAACAGACGAGGAGCUUGCCCCUCUGACGUUAGCGGCGGACGGGUGAGUAACACGUGGAUAACCUACCUAUAAGACUGGGAUAACUUCGGGAAACCGGAGCUAAUACCGGAUAAUAUAUUGAACCGCAUGGUUCAAUAGUGAAAGACGGUUUUGCUGUCACUUAUAGAUGGAUCCGCGCCGCAUUAGCUAGUUGGUAAGGUAACGGCUUACCAAGGCAACGAUGCGCAGCCGACCUGAGAGGGUGAUCGGCCACACUGGAACUGAGACACGGUCCAGACUCCUACGGGAGGCAGCAGUAGGGAAUCUUCCGCAAUGGGCGAAAGCCUGACGGAGCAACGCCGCGUGAGUGAUGAAGGUCUUCGGAUCGUAAAACUCUGUUAUUAGGGAAGAACAAAUGUGUAAGUAACUAUGCACGUCUUGACGGUACCUAAUCAGAAAGCCACGGCUAACUACGUG
rnacentral:rRNA from 1 species